rnacentral:rRNA from 1 species
CCUACGGGAGGCAGCAGUGAGGAAUAUUGGUCAAUGGGCGGGAGCCUGAACCAGCCAAGCCGCGUGAAGGAAGAAGGCGCCACGCGUCGUAAACCUCUUUUGUCGGGGAACAAAGGCGCCCACGGGUGGGCGGAUGAGUGUACCCGACGAAAAAGCAUCGGCUAACUCCGUGCCAGCAGCCGCGGUAAUACGGAGGAUGCGAGCGUUAUCCGGAUUUAUUGGGUUUAAAGGGUGCGUAGGCGGACAGUCAAGUCAGCGGUAAAAUUGCGGUGCUCAACGCCGUACAGCCGUUGAAACUGGCAGUCUUGAGUGGGCGAGAAGUAUGCGGAAUGCGGGGUGUAGCGGUGAA